CUGUCUUGUUUAAAAAUAUUCAAUAAAGUAAAAAAAAAAAAUAAUAAUAAUAAUAUAAAUCUGUUCUUAUCAGUUUAAUAGCUGUUACGUCCCCCAGCAGUAGACCACAAAUCAAGUGGAUUUUUAGAACAGGGAGUCGGCAAACGUGCUUGCACCUUCUGCUCCACUGUUACGUCCCUGGUCUAGGUUCAGGGACAUAGCAAAUGGUA
ensembl:snRNA U2 U2 spliceosomal RNA